rnacentral:rRNA from 1 species
UACAGAGGGUGCAAGCGUUUGUUCGGAAUUAUUGGGCGUAAAGAGCUCGUAGGCGGCCUGUUGCGUCCGCUGUGAAAUCCCGGGGCUCAACCCCGGGCCUGCAGUGGAUACGGGCUGGCUGGAGGCAGGCAGGGGAGAACGGAAUUCCUGGUGUAGCGGUGAAAUGCGCAGAUAUCAGGAGGAACACCGGUGGCGAAGGCGGUUCUCUGGGCCUGUUCUGACGCUGAGGAGCGAAAGCGUGGGGAGCGAACAGG